AGAGUUUGAUCCUGGCUCAGAGUGAACGCUGGCGGCGUGGAUUAGGCAUGCAAGUCGAGCGAUGCCGAGCUGCGAGCAGUUGUCGAGCGCAAGCGAGAUGGCUGUGAGCGAUUCGGCAUAGCGGCAGACUGGUGAGUAACACGUGAGUAAUCUACCUCUCAUUCGGGGAUAGCCUUGCGAAAGCGAGGAUAAUACCCGAUGUGUCCAGAGGCACACAAGUGUUUCUGGGUAAAGGUUGUCCGUAAGGGUAGCUGGUGAGAGAUGAGCUCGCGUCCUAUCAGCUAGUUGGUAGGGUAACGGCCUACCAAGGCUUUUGACGGGUAGCUGGCCUGAGAGGGUGGUCAGCCACACGGGGACUGAGACACUGCCCCGACUCCUACGGGAGGCUGCAGUCGAGGAUCUUUAGCAAUGGGCGAAAGCCUGACUAUGCGACGCCGCGUGAGGGAUGAAGGUUUUCGGAUCGUAAACCUCUUUCGAUGGGAAGGAAAGUCCGGUAUGAAAAGUGCCGGAUUGACGGUACCCAGAGAAGAAGCCACGGCCAACUCCGUGCCAGCAGCCGCGGUAAUACGGGGGUGGCGAGCGUUACUCGGAAUUAUUGGGUGUAAAGGGCAGGUAGGCGUCUCGACAAGUUUCGGGUGAAAUCCUUUCGCUUAACGAAAGAACUGCCUGAAAAACUGUCGGGAUUGAGGCCGAGAGAGGAGAGCGGAAUUCCCGGUGUAAGGGUGAAAUCUGUAGAUAUCGGGAGGAACACCAGUGGCGAAGGCGGCUCUCUGGUUCGGUCCUGACGCUGAGCUGCGAAAGCUCGGGUAGCAAACAGGAUUAGAUACCCUGGUAGUCCGAGCCGUAAACGAUGAGCACUAGGUGUUGGGGAGUAUAUCUUCAGCGCCGUAAGAUAACUCGUUAAGUGCUCCACCUGGGGACUACGACCGCAAGGUUAAAACUCAAAGGAAUUGACGGGGGCCCGCACAAGCGGUGGAACAUGUGGUUCAAUUCGACGCUACGCGAAGAACCUCACCAGGGCUUGACAUGCAGGAAGUAGUGAACCGAAAGGCAAACCACCUGUCAAGUCAGGAGCCUGCACAGGUGUUGCAUGGCUGUCGUCAGCUCGUGUCGUGAGAUGUUGGGUUAAGUCCCGCAACGAGCGCAACCAUCGUUUUUAGUUGCUACCCUGUACCAUCCCGAAAGGGGUGGUAGAGGGGCACUCUAAAGAGACUGCCCGCGAUAAGCGGGAGGAGGGGGGAGAUGACGUCAAGUCAGUACGGCCUUUAUGCCCUGGGCUACACACGUGUUACAAUGCCCACUACAAAGCGUUGCCAAACCGCGAGGUGGAGCUAAUCGCAAAAAAGUGGGCUCAGUUCAGAUUGGAGUCUGCAAUUCGACUCCAUGAAGCCGGAAUCGCUAGUAAUGGCGGACCAGCUACGCCGCCGUGAAUACGUUCCCGGGCCUUGUACACACCGCCCGUCAAGCGAUGGGAGCUGGUGGUACCUGAAAUCUCCGAGUAAUCGGGGCUGAAGGUAAAACCGGUGACUGGCGCUAAGUCGUAACAAGGUA
rnacentral:rRNA from 1 species